UAAACGGCUAUGAAGAAGAGGAGUAUUUUUCCGCUUGCUUUCAGAGAGCAGCCGGCAGGUGCAAGGCUGUAAGCAAAGAAAAAGAAGGUAGCUUUUGAGCCGGCGGGGUGAAACCAAGUAACUUCGUCCGUUCUCCGCGUUAAGGAGCAAAGCGGCGCUUUGUGCGCAAUUUGAGUGGUACCGCGGAAUUAUGCUUUCGUCUCAUUU
rnacentral:ncRNA from 1 species